CGAACGCUGGCGGCAUGGCUAAGACAUGCAAGUCGAACGCUCUGUGGCAACACAGAGAGUGGCGGACGGGCGAGUAAUGGAUAGGCAACCAACCCUGGACACGGGGAUAGCCCGCUGAAAGGCGGGGUAAUACCCGAUGAUCUCGAGAGGUCAAAAGGCCUUUCGAGCAAAGCUCCGGCGGUCCGGGACGGGCCUAUUUCCUAUCAGGUAGUUGGCAGGGUAACGGCCUACCAAGCCGAAGACGGGUAGCGGGGCUGAGAGGUCGGCCCGCCGCAUCGGGACUGAGACACUGCCCGGACACCUACGGGUGGCUGCAGUAACGAAUCUUGUCCAAUGGGCGCAAGCCUGAGACAGCGAUGCCGCGUGCAGGAUGAAGUCCUUCGGGAUGUAAACUGCUGUCAGGGGUAAGGAAGAUCUGACCCAACCCAGAGGAAGGCUCGACUAACUUCGUGCCAGCAGUCGCGGUAAGACGAAGGAGCCAAGCGUUGUUCGGAACCACUGGGCUUAAAGCGUGCGUAGGCGGCCUGAAGGGUGUUGUGUGAAAUCCCCCGGCUCAACCGGGGAACGGCACGGCAAACCGCCAGGCUUGAGGCAGAUAGGGGCGACUAGAACUCUAGGUGGAGCGGUGAAAUGCGUUGAUAUCUAGGGGAACGCCGGUGGUGAAAACGGGUCGCUGGGUCUGUCCUGACGCUGAGGCACGAAAGCGUGGGGAGCGAACGGGAUUAGAUACCCCGGUAGUCCACGCCGUAAACGAUGCGCACUAGAUUUGAGCAGCUCUGAGGUUGCUCGGGUCGAAGCAAAAGUGAUAAGUGCGCCGCCUGGGGAGUACGGCCGCAAGGCUAAA
rnacentral:rRNA from 1 species